GUGCUCUUCCAGAUCUGGUUAAGCUUAAUUAGCACAUCCACCAGGCUUUCUCAAACAGAUAGUCUGGAUGCUUAAGUAUGUUCUUAGAGAGUUUGGAGAAUAUCUCAGAUAAGAUAACUUUUGUCUGGAG